CUACGGGUUGCUGCAGUGGGGAAUAUUGCACAAUGGGCGCAAGCCUGAUGCAGCCAUGCCGCGUGUAUGAAGAAGGCCUUCGGGUUGUAAAGUACUUUCAGCGGGGAGGAAGGGAGUAAAGUUAAUACCUUUGCUCAUUGACGUUACCCGCAGAAGAAGCACCGGCUAACUCCGUGCCAGCAGCCGCAGUAAUACGGAGGGUGCAAGCGUUAACCGGAAUUACUGGGCGUAAAGCGCACGCAGGCGGUUUGUUAAGUCAGAUGUGAAAUCCCCGGGCUCAACCUGGGAACUGCAUCUGAUACUGGCAAGCUUGAGUCUCGUAGAGGGAGGUAGAAUUCCAGGUGUAGCGGUGAAAUGCGUAGAGAUCUGGAGGAAUACCGGUGGCGAAGGCGGCCCCCUGGACGAAGACUGACGCUCAGGUGCGAAAGCGUGGGGAGCAAACAGGAUUAGAUACCCGGGUAGUC
rnacentral:rRNA from 1 species